rnacentral:rRNA from 1 species
GACGAACGCUGGCGGCGUGCUUAACACAUGCAAGUCGAACGGUCAUGCUCCAGCUUGCUGGCGUGGAUCAGUGGCGAACGGGUGAGUAACACUUGAGCAACCUGCCCCUGACUCUGGCAUAUGCUCUGGAAACGGCGUCUAUUACUGGAUACGAUACUUUCCCGCAUGGGCUUGGUUUGUAAAUUUUGUCGGUUUGGGAUGUUCUCGCUGCCUAUCAGCUUGUUUGUUAGGUAAUGGCUCACCAAGCCUACGACGGGUAGCCGACCUGGGAGGGCGACCGGCCACACGGGGACUGAGAGACGGCACAGAAGCCUACGGGAGGCAGCAGUGGGGAAUAUUGCAGAAUGGGAGAAAGGAAGAUGAAACGAAGCCGCGAGAGGGAUAACGGGCUUCGGGUUGAAAACAAAUAUGAGCAGAGAAGAAGCGAAAGUGACGGUACCUGCAGAAGAAGCACCGGCUAACUACGUG